rnacentral:tRNA from 1 species
GGGUUGUGGCUCAGUGGUAGAGCGUUUGCCUAGCAUAAGCGAGGCCCUGGGUUUGAUCCUCAGCCCCA